GACGAACGCUGGCGGCGUGCUUAACACAUGCAAGUCGAACGGCAAGGCCCUGCUUUUGUGGUGUGCUCGAGUGGCGAACGGGUGAGUAACACGUGAGUAACCUGCCCUUGACUUUGGGAUAACUUCCGGAAACUGGGGCUAAUACCGGAUAGGAGCUCCUGCUGCAUGGUGGGGGUUGGAAAGUUUCGGCGGUUGGGGAUGGACUCGCGGCUUAUCAGCUUGUUGGUGGGGUAGUGGCUUACCAAGGCUUUGACGGGUCGCCGGCCUGAGAGGGUGCCCGGCCACAUUGGGACUGAGAGACGGCCCAGACUCCUACGGGAGGCAGCAGGGGGGAAUAUUGCACAAUGGGCGGAAGCCUGAUGCAGCAACGCCGCGGGCGGGAUGACGGCCUUCGGGUUGUAAACCGCUUUCGCCUGUGACGAAGCGUGAGUGACGGUAAUGGGUAAAGAAGCACCGGCUAACUACGUG
rnacentral:rRNA from 1 species